AAGUGCAGUAAUGCAUUAAGCUAACCAGUACUAAUUGCCCGUACGGCUUGUCCCUAUAACCUUGCCGGUUAUA
rnacentral:rRNA from 1 species